GACGAACGCUGGCGGCGUGCCUAAUACAUGCAAGUUGAGCGCUGAAGGUUGGUACUUGUACCGACUGGAUGAGCAGCGAACGGGUGAGUAACGCGUGGGGAAUCUGCCUUUGAGCGGGGGACAACAUUUGGAAACGAAUGCUAAUACCGCAUAAAAACUUUAAACACAAGUUUUAAGUUUGAAAGAUGCAAUUGCAUCACUCAAAGAUGAUCCCGCGUUGUAUUAGCUAGUUGGUGAGGUAAAGGCUCACCAAGGCGAUGAUACAUAGCCGACCUGAGAGGGUGAUCGGCCACAAUGGGACUGAGACACGGCCCAAGCUCCUACGGGGAGCAGCAAUAGGGAAUCUUCGGCAAUAGACGAAAGUCUGACCGGGCAACGCCGCGUGAGUGAAUAAGGUUUUCGGAUCGUAAAACUCUGUUGGUAGAGAAGAACGUUGGUGGGAGUGGAAAGCGCAUCAAGUGACGGUAACUACCCAGAAAGGGACGGCUAACUACGUG
rnacentral:rRNA from 1 species